AGCUUCCAGCUUGGGGAAGAGUGGGGUUGUCAGCAGGAGAGCCUGAGGGCUGAGGCCCAGCGUGAACAUGGCAGCUAAUGGGGACUCUCCCCCAUGGUCCCCGGCCCUGGCUGCAGAGGGACGUGGCAGCUCAUGUGAGGUGAGGAGGGAGAGGACCCCAGAGGCAAGAAUUCAUUCAGUGAAGAGAUACCCUGACCUGUCCCCAGGGCCUAAGGGCAGAAGCAGGCUUCAGUGUCAUUUGAGGACGUGACUGUGGACUUCAGCAAGGAGGAGUGGCAGCACUUGGACCCUGCCCAGAGACGCCUGUACUGGGAUGUGACACUAGAGAACUACAGCCACCUGCUCUCAGUGGGGUACCAAAUUCCCAAGUCAGAGGCUGCCUUCAAGUUGGAGCAAGGAGAGGGGCCAUGGAUGCUGGAGGGGGAAGCCCCACAUCAGAGCUGUUCAGGUGAGGCUAUUGGGAAAAUGCAGCAACAGGGAAUUCCUGGAGGAAUUUUCUUCCACUGUGAGAGAUUUGAUCAACCCAUAGGAGAAGAUUCAUUAUGUUCUAUUUUAGAAGAACUGUGGCAAGAUAAUGACCAGCUAGAGCAACGUCAGGAAAACCAGAAUAACCUUUUAAGUCAUGUGAAAGUAUUGAUUAAGGAGAGGGGCUAUGAACA
rnacentral:lncRNA from 1 species